AGGUUGAUUCUAUUCUUCAGGUUUUUAUCCAUCCCCUUUAACAUUGAUUUUCAAGUAGUGCAUUGUUUGCCAUGCUUGUUAAUGUUAUCAACAACCUAAUUCAAGAGGAGAGGUCAUAAAUUAAAAUUACAAGUGAGGGUGGGGAAGAUAGUUCUUAAGGGUUUAUCUCUUAAACUUGAUUUACAUAUAUUGUUGCUCCAUAUAUUUUAUUUCGUUAACAUUUAAGUCCUUGUAAAUGUUAUGUAAUGUAUUUCUAUUCAACUUGUUGCACUUUUGCAAUGCAGUCCUUGAACAAUGAUUUUCAAGCAAUCAAGUUCUUGCCUCCUAAUCACCUGAACUAUUCUUCAGUGUUGAGUUGAGGCUAAGAUGUAACUAU
rnacentral:misc_RNA from 1 species